UUACGGCCAUAUCACGUUGAAACGACGGUUCUCGUAAGAUCACCGACGUUAAGCAUUGUGGAGCCUGGUCAGUACCGAGAUAGGUGACUGCUUCUGAAUACUAGGUGCAGUAAG